CAGUCGCCGCGGUAAUACGUAUGUCACAAGCGUUAUCCGGAUUUAUUGGGCGUAAAGCGCGUCUAGGUGGUUAUGUAAGUCUGAUGUGAAAAUGCAGGGCUCAACUCUGUAUUGCGUUGGAAACUGUGUAACUAGAGUACUGGAGAGGUAAGCGGAACUACAAGUGUAGAGGUGAAAUUCGUAGAUAUUUGUAGGAAUGCCGAUGGGGAAGCCAGCUUACUGGACAGAUACUGACGCUGAGGCUCGAAAGCGUGGGGAGCAAACAGGAUUAGAUACCCCUGUAGUCCCUGUCUCUUAUACA
rnacentral:rRNA from 1 species